rnacentral:lncRNA from 1 species
UUACAGCUGAAAUCAGUUUCAGAAAUAUACAACAUGGCCGUAUAGUUUGGUGAAACAUUGACAUCCAUUUCAAAGACAUGGAAUCCAUUCAUCUCUAAACUUAGAAUCAGACAGCAGCAGUAACCGUCUUACAAACUAUUCUUACGUUAGGCCUGCUGGACAUUUGGUGCAACCCACUGGCUGGCCUUUCCGGAACGACCUAAGCUGAAUCUAUUGCCUCUUGUUAGCGUAUGCUGUGUAUACGUCCCCUGCUAUCCAACUUUUUGCGGCUCUGUUGAGAUCAACUAUCUAACCAAAUGCUUUUGUUUAUUUAUUACUUCAUCAUAUCAAAAGGAUGAUGGUUCUCAAACCGACUGAAUGAAGAGUUCCAGAGCAUGCAAUUCAAAAGCCAAUGAGCGCUCCGAGAACAUGGAAAUUUGAACAAAAGGACGGUAACGCACCUUCUGCCCUUGAUCUAGC